AUGUUCUGGGCUCCCGUUCUCAUCCUCCUACUGAUGAGGGACGCUGGUUCCCGCUCCCAGCCGGUGUUCACUCAUCCUCCUUCCGCAUCCGUGUCCACAGAAAACACUGUGAGACUCUCCUGCGCCUUCAGCAGCAGAGUCAGCAUCAGUAACUAUGCUGUAUCCUGGUACCAGCAGACUCCUGACAGUUCCCCAAGUUUCCUCUUGCAGUAUUACUCUGACUCCAGCAAGCACCAAGGCUCGGGGGUCCCCGUUCACUUCUCUGGCUACAAAGACGCCUCCACCAACAGUGGCCUUUUGACCAUCUCGGGAGUCCAGCCUGAGGAUGAGGCUGAUUAUUACUGUGCAACGGAGCAUGGACGUGGCAGAAAUUUCCAGAUUCCACAGUGGGGUUAUCUGAUGGGGAAGUGCGACAAAAACCUCCUCUCUCCUCCCUUAUAG